AAACUCUAUCUUUUUCUGCUUUUGGUGGGGUUUUAACAUGUAGAGUCUUCAGAAUGCGGAAUGGAAUCUUACAAGAAAAUGCAUAUAAUGAGCUCAAGUAGAAGAAGAAAUCAGAGAUAAGGGUGGGUAAAGAUGAGCCGAAUAGUGAGCAGCAACACAUGGGCUCUCUGUAUGCGAAGCUUCACUACUACCCAUAUAAGGGUUUGGAGUAAUGCUACUGUUUUCCACAACAGAUUUACACAUACAUUUCCAAAGGGAAACAAUGAUACAGUUACUCACAACUUAGAAGCAAGAGAAAAUCUGCAAUUGGAAGAUGUCAAUCUGGUGGAGAACUCUUAACAAUGAGUUUAAGAAGGCAUCAAAAGGUGGUACCAUGAGACAAACCCAAAGGUUUUCAACUGCUGCUAUUAUGAGUGUGAGACCUCCAGACCCUCCAGGCCCAAAUACAGGUGAUGGCCCACAUCAUAAUUAGUUGCCGGAUUUUGGUAUACAAGAGGAGCAUAAAGAAAAUAGGAAAAGUAUGGUAAAUCUAUGCAUAGAUUAGGGCUAGUGAAAUGUUAUGUUUUGAAAUACCCUGGUGUUGGGACACAGAUAUAAAAGUUGUACUAGUGGCUCGCUUUAUUUGUAUGAGAUGUUUCUACUGUAUCAGACCAAGAUACUAAGAUCGUAGUAUGAUAAUAUGGCUACAAUAUGUUUUGAAGUCUAAUAUAAUGAAUUGUCAUACAUUAAAAGCUGAA